UACGUAGGUGGCGAGCGUUGUCCGGAUUUACUGGGCGUAAAGGGAGCGUAGGCGGACUUUUAAGUGAGAUGUGAAAUACUCGGGCUCAACUUGAGUGCUGCAUUUCAAACUGGAAGUCUGGAGUGCAGGAGAGGAGAAUGGAAUUCCUAGUGUAGCGGUGAAAUGCGUAGAGAUUAGGAAGAACACCAGUGGCGAAGGCGAUUCUCUGGACUGUAACUGACGCUGAGGCUCGAAAGCGUGGGGAGCAAACAGG
rnacentral:rRNA from 1 species